UUUCAUUGAUUUCUUAGUUUUAUUCAAUCCACUGACAUAAAAAAAAUCAUAUUGGUGUAAAUGAAAACAACACGAUUUAAAUUUUUGUGUGAUAUUUCUUAGUGUUGGCUCUGACUUCUAUUACAAAGCCUGGUCACGCAGUGUGUUCUCCAAACCAGACUGUCCCACCAUGCCGGAUCAGGAAGUAGUUCCACGCCGCGCAAGUCUUUGCUCCUCCCCUACACACACACACACACACACACACACACACACACACACACACACACACACGCUUGCUAAUGAUUAUUUGAUUGCUGGAAGAGGAGCAGGCGCCUGUGCCUCCAGCUGUACAUUGAACUGGAGCACCCCUAGCCCAGAGCCACUGAAUGGCACCCUUGCCUCACAGCCAGCGCUUGCUUCUCGCUGUCUCACUGGAGACAGCAACCUCCUCAUGAGUCUCAGAAAGGAAUAGUGUCUCUCUUACACUGCCCUUCAAUCUGUUCGCUGGGUCCUCCCAGAGGACCUAGCAGCAGUCACAGCUCAGUGGCCAAGGGCUGGAGGAAGGGCCCAGGCAGAACCCAGAGCUCUAGCGGUUGCCAUGGCAGCAGCAGGACUAUGUAAAGCUUCCCGAAGCAGAUCUGCUGUCUCAAGAGCUUAUACCACAGCCAUAGGCUGUCUGUGUUUAGCCUGUGCUGGGGGGAGACAGUUCAGCGUUUUCCCACUCCCUCUGUCAGCUUGCCUUGAGAUUAUUUGCUGACACCCUGGAGACACAGGUCAGAUGAGGCCGCUGACCCAGGUCUUCAGGGGUUUGUACAAGAGCUUGCUUGGCCCUUGUUUGUUUGGAAGGAGCGUGGCAAAGCAGACACUGCUGUAUUUAGCCAUUGGAUUCCAGGAUUACAGUCCUGUGCUGCCCCAUCCUCUGCUCUCUGCAGCCCUGGAAUGGAACUCAGGGCCUUGUGCGCACUGUACAAGACAAGCACUCUGCCAACCAACAGAGCUGCAUCUGCAACUCUGGGAGUGCCCAUCCCAAGCUCACCAUGGACUUCCCACAUGAAACAUCAUUUUUGCCUGUGCUCCCCAUGUGUUUCUGGCUGAAGACAGCUUUUGAGUCUGUGGACUCACCAAAGGAGAUCACCCUAGUCAGUGUAACGUACUUUCCUGUCCUCCAAGCCUUGAGAAUCUAAAUAAAACAAGGGGCCGGGAAAGAAAGAGCCUUUCCCCUUUCAUUGCUGA